UAUACCUUUGUGGUGCGGGCAGAGGAGCAAUUUUAUUUUUAUUUUUCUUGACUUAAUUUCCCUUUUCUUUUAAGUCUCCUCUAUAUAUUUUGUCCCUAUCUACUAUCUAGCGAAACCACAGCCAAGGGAACGGGCUUGGAAAAAUCAGCGGGGAAAGAAGACCCUGUUGAGCUUGACUCUAGUCUGACUCUGUGAAGAGACAUGAGAGGUGUAGCAUAAGUGGGAGGCCGUGAACCCUCGCGGUUGUGUCGUGCCGUCAGUGAAAUACCACUACUUUCAUCGUUUCUUUACUUACUCGGUGAAGCGGAAAGCGGACCAUGAGUGUCCACGCUUCUAGCACUAAGUGCAAGGCCCUUCGUUGGCCCGCACGAUCUGUUCCGAGGACAGUGUCAGGCGGGGAGUUUGACUGGGGCGGUACAUCUGUCAAAUGGUAACGCAGGUGUCCUAAGGCGAGCUCAGCGAGGACAGAAACCUCGCGUAGAGCAAAAGGGCAAAUGCUUGCUUGAUCUUGAUUUUCAGUACGAUUACAGACCGCGAAAGCGGGGCCCCUCGAUCCUUUUGACUUCAAGAGUUUUAAGCAAGAGGUGUCAGAAAAGUACCACAGGG
rnacentral:ncRNA from 1 species